rnacentral:misc_RNA from 1 species
AAGUCGUAACAAGGUUUCCGUAGGUGAACCUGCGGAAGGAUCAUUACUAAAAGUUUUAUCUAAACUUUUUUUACCAACCCAAAACGCGAACCGUUUUACCCUCCCCCUUUUUGCUAACCUUGCACUUUGCUGUGAGGUAAAAGAGGGGGGAGGCCCCAAUUUAUUCAACCCUAUUUUUUACAUAUUGUAAACUGCUUUUUUAGUAUUUUAAUAUAAAAAUACAACUUUCAGCAACGGAUCUCUAGGCUCCU